AUUGAACGCUGGCGGAAUGCUUUACACAUGCAAGUCGAACGGCAGCACGGGGGCAACCCUGGUGGCGAGUGGCGAACGGGUGAGUAAUACAUCGGAACGUGCCCAGUCGUGGGGGAUAACGUAGCGAAAGUUACGCUAAUACCGCAUACGAUCUACGGAUGAAAGCGGGGGACCGUAAGGCCUCGCGCGAUUGGAGAGGCCGAUGUCAGAUUAGGUAGUUGGUGAGGUAAAGGCUGACCAAGCCGACGAUCUGUAGCUGGUCUGAGAGGACGACCGGCCACACGGGGACUGUGACACGGCCCAGACUCCUACGGGAGGCAGCAGUGGGGAAUUUUGGACAAUGGGCGCAAGCCUGAUCCAGCCAUUCCGCGCGCAGGACGAAGGCCUUCGGGUUGUAAACUGCUUUUGUACGGAACGAAAAGGCUCUGGUUAAUACCUGGGGCUCAUGACGGUACCGUAAGAAUAAGCACCGGCUAACUACGUGCCAGCCGCCGCCGUAA
rnacentral:rRNA from 1 species